GCCAAGCUGUUCCAGGCCUGGAGUGGCACGCUGGAACUUCCAGAGGCUUGUAGACCUGAAGCAGUGUGAUGUGGUCCAGAUCUGACACCCCUAUUAGCUCAACCAGUCUUAACAGCUGCAGUCGUCUGCCCCUGCAUCUGCUACACCGGCCACGACAGGUGAUACAGAUCUGCGUAGUAGAUGCAGUCACGGCAUUCCCCUGCUGUGGUGUUAUAUUUACCGGCUGCACCAGUUCCUACUACACUGGCCGUGAAGGGAGACACUUUUGAGGAUUCCCAGAUGGAUACAGCUCUCUUUCAGAUCUGCCAUGCACUCCACCACUGCCUGACAGCCUCACCCAGAAGUGCAUACACUGGGCCUAUCAAGACUGACAAAGCAGAGAUGGGUGGCGGACAAGGAAAAAUAAAACUAAUCAUGCGCACACACACACACACUAUCCACAAUGUAAAUCAGUUGUAAUAACUUGUUUAUUUUAUUUGAGGAAAAUAUCUGUAAUAAAGUACAUUCACACUUAAA